rnacentral:rRNA from 1 species
UACAGAGGUCUCAAGCGUUGUUCGGAUUCAUUGGGCGUAAAGGGUGCGUAGGCGGCGCGGUAAGUCGGGUGUGAAAUCUCGGGGCUUAACUCCGAAACUGCAUUCGAUACUACCGUGCUUGAGGACUGGGGAGGAGACUGGAAUUUACGGUGUAGCGGUGAAAUGCGUAGAUAUCGUAAGGAAGACCAGUGGCGAAGGCGGGUCUCUGGACAGUUCCUGACGCUGAGGCACGAAGGCCAGGGGAGCAAACGGG